GGAGAGGUGGCAGAGUGGUCGAAUGCGCACGCUUGGAAAGCGUGUGUGCCGCAAGGUACCGAGGGUUCGAAUCCCUCCCUCUCCGCCA
rnacentral:tRNA from 1 species